UACGGAGGGAGCUAGCGUUGUUCGGAAUUACUGGGCGUAAAGGGCGCGUAGGCGGCCUUCUAAGUCAGACGUGAAAUCCCUCGGCUCAACCGAGGAACUGCGUCUGAUACUGGAAGGCUUGAAUCCGGGAGAGGGAUGUGGAAUUCCAGGUGUAGCGGUGAAAUGCGUAGAUAUCUGGAGGAACACCGGUGGCGAAGGCGGCAUCCUGGACCGGUAUUGACGCUGAGGCGCGAAAGCUAGGGGAGCAAACGGG
rnacentral:rRNA from 1 species